rnacentral:rRNA from 1 species
CAGACGAACGCUGGCGGCGUGCCUAAUACAUGCAAGUCGAACGGUCUUUCUAUGGAAGCUUGCUUCCACUGAGAAGAUAGUGGCGAACGGGUGAGUAACACGUGGGUAACCUGCCCAUAAGAGGGGGAUAACAUCCGGAAACGGGUGCUAAUACCGCAUAGUUUUCUUGAUCGCAUGAUCGGGAAAGGAAAGACGGCCUUUGUGCUGUCGCUUAUGGAUGGACCCGCGGCGUAUUAGUUAGUUGGUGAGGUAACGGCUCACCAAGACGAUGAUACGUAGCCGACCUGAGAGGGUGAUCGGCCACAUUGGGACUGAGACACGGCCCAAACUCCUACGGGAGGCAGCAGUAGGGAAUCUUCCGCAAUGGACGAAAGUCUGACGGAGCAACGCCGCGUGAGUGAAAGAAGGUUUUCGGAUCGUAAAACUCUGUUGUCAGAGAAGAACAAGUUGGAGAGUAACUGCUCCAGCCUUGACGGUAUCUGACCAGAAAGCCACGGCUAACUACGUGCCAGCCGCGGC